GAUGAAGAACGUAGCGGAAUGCGAUAAGUAAUGCGAAUUGCAGAAUCCGUGAGUCAUCGAAUCUUUGAACGCACAUUGCGCCCCUUGGUUAUUCCGAAGGGCAUGCCUGUUCGAGCGUCAUUAUCACCCCUCAAGCCCUGGCUUAGUGUUGGACUUUAGUUAUAGCUUUGCCUAUCAACUGGUCUCAAAGAUAGUGACGGCGCCCCAGAGGGAACCGGGUACGAGGAGCUUUUUACUAAGCAUGUAUCUGGGACGACUCUGAUGGGCGACGGUCUUGUUAUACUUUUUACCUAAGUGUUGACCUCGGAUCAGGUAGGAAUACCCGCUGAACUUAAGCAUAUCAAUAAGAGGAGGA
rnacentral:misc_RNA from 1 species